rnacentral:lncRNA from 1 species
CAUCCUUUUCCUUCCUUCAGCUCCCUCCUCCUCCUUUUCUACCAUCAUCUAUUAGAGAUGAUGUGGACUAAGGAGUUGUCCCUUCUUGCUUCGGGCAGUGAUGUCCUUUCUCUCCUUCCUUUUUUAUGUUUAUCAAAUAAGGGGGAGAAAAGAGACACAUCAACAUCUAGAAGCAUGUACUCAAGGGGUGUACACCAGAAGAUAUGAUAGAAUAUGAUAACAUAGAAUCAAAGGAAGUCUCCAGAUUCUUAGAAUUUCACCUUAGGAGUUCAUGUCAUAGAUUCACCCCCCACCCCCUCAUUCUCGUGUUUUAAAGGUACUUCAGGUUGUAUCAGAGUUAACCUCGCAGGGUUAGUUUUUAGCAGGACUCAAGGAGUAGCUAAACUCGGACUAAGGUUGAGACUAGAAGUGGUUAUAGAAUACUUGUAAACCAAGAGUGGUUAAACUCAGACUAGUCGUGAGUGGUGAGAAUACUCAUUGUAAACCUGAAGAGGUAAAACUCGUGUAAUCUUUUCAAAGAUUAGUG